GUUUGCCAUGGAGUGAAUUCCCCAUCACCUUCUGAGAAUUUCCAGUGAACUGUGCACGAGCACUGAUUCUUGCAGACAGAUGGUUCGUCGACAGUUUCUCAACAUGUUCUGACUUAAAUCACUUUAAUCAUAUUUGUUUCAUUAAAAAGGCUUCAUGGCGAAGCAAAGCAGCGUUUUCAAUAAGUCUCCGCCACCUGUUCCGAAGGCAAAACCGAGUACCUCACAUAGAGAAGCUGACUUGCCAUCCUCGGUUCUAAAAAAUAACUCUCCAAAAGAAGAAGCUAAGCAAACAUCUCAAACUCAGACCGCUAAAAACACUCCUGCAAAAGUGUUCAAAUGCGGAUUCGGAAGACUCUUUGGGAAUAAGACGCCAACAGUAAAUGAGAGCCCAGCACCAUGUCCAUUCAGUGUUGGAGCCUUGGUGUGGGCCAAGCUAGUGCCUCAGCCCCUCAGCAGAUGAGGGACAGGGGUAAAACCCAGUGCCUGCACGUCCACUUCUUCGAAGAGCCUCCGACCAGGGGCUGGGUCAGCACCAAAUACAUACAGGGCCAUGGUGCUGGCUGAUGCUGCUAUGCCAGACAGCCCAGAGAUCAGACUGAAGAUGCCUGUCUGUAUGGACCCAUCUGAUACUGAGGAGGAGAAGGAUAUGGAGCUUGAUAAGUCAAGGCUGACCGACAAAGAUCUGACUGAAGAGCAAGAUGAGAAGGGGACGGUGAAGUCAAACUCUAGUCGCUGUACAUCCCACCCCACAGCCGAACAGGGCAGCCCAAGCGUAGCCGCAUCGUGGUCGCCUCCAACAGUGAAUGCUUGGCUGAUGAAUUCAAUCCAGAGCAGGCAGGAGGCAGCAGUGAGGAAGAUGAGGAAGAGAAGGUAGUGAACAGUACGUUGGAGGAGGAUGAAGAAUGUGAACCCAA